GCCCUACGGGUGGCUGCAGUGGGGAAUAUUGGACAAUGGACGAAAGUCUGAUCCAGCAAUACCGCGUGAGUGAUGAAGGCCUUAGGGUUGUAAAGCUCUUUUAGCAGGGAAGAUAAUGACGGUACCUGCAGAAAAAGCCCCGGCUAACUCCGUGCCAGCAGCCGCGGUAAGACGGAGGGGGCUAGCGUUGUUCGGAAUUACUGGGCGUAAAGAGCGCGUAGGCGGCUCGACAAGUUGGAUGUGAAAGCCCGGGGCUUAACCUCGGAACUGCAUUCAAAACUGUUGAGCUAGAGUAUGGUAGGGGGUGAUGGAAUUCCUAGUGUAGAGGUGAAAUUCUUAGAUAUUAGGAGGAACACCGGUGGCGAAGGCGGUCACCUGGGCCAUUACUGACGCUGAGGCGCGAAAGCGUGGGGAGCAAACAGGAUUAGAUACCCGUGUAGUCA
rnacentral:rRNA from 1 species